rnacentral:rRNA from 1 species
AGCAUCCGCGGUAAUUCCAGCUCCAAUAGCGUAUAUUAAAGUUGUUGCAGUUAAAAGCUCGUAGUUGAAUUUCGGGGUCAGUAGGUCGGUCGUGCCACUGGUAUGAACUGGUUUUACUGAUUCCUCCCUCUUGAAGAACUGUAAUGCCAUUAAUUUGGUGUUGCAGGGAAUCAGGACUGUUACUUUGAAAAAAUUAGAGUGUUUAAAGCAGGCUUUAGCUUGAAUACAUUAGCAUGGAAUAAUGAAAUAGGACGUUUGAUCCUAUUUUGUUGGUUUCUAGGAUUGACGUAAUGAUUAAUAGGGAUAGUUGGGGGCAUUAGUAUUCAAUUGUCAGAGGUGAAAUUCUUGGAUUUAUUGAAGACUAACUACUGCGAAAGCAUUUGCCAAGGAUGUUUUCAUUAAUCAAGAACGAAAGUUAGGGGAUCGAAGACGAUCAGAUACCGUGCGUAGUCUUAACCAUAAACUAAGCCGACUAGGGAUCGGAUGAUGUUAAUUUUUUAAUGACUCA